rnacentral:rRNA from 1 species
UGUGUAGGCGGUCCACUAAGUCGGAUGUGAAAGCCCUGGGCUCAACCCAGGAAGUGCACUCGAAACUGGCGGGCUAGAGUAUCGGAGAGGUUGGUGGAAUUCUCGGUGUAGAGGUGAAAUUCGUAGAUAUCGAGAGGAACACCGGUGGCGAAGGCGGCCAACUGGACGAAUACUGACGCUGAGACACGAAAGCGUGGGGAGCAAACAGGAUUAGAUACCCUGGUAGUCCACGCCGUAAACGAUGGGUGCUAGGUGUCGCGGGCUUUGACUCCCGCGGUGCCGUAGCUAACGCAUUAAGCACCCCGCCUGGGAAGUACGGCCGCAAGGCUAAA